rnacentral:rRNA from 1 species
UACGGGGGGGGCAAGCGUUGUUCGGGAAUUACUGGGGCGUAAAGGGCUCGUAGGCGGCCAACUAAGUCAGACGUGAAAUCCCUCGGCUUAACCGGGGAGCUGCAUCUGAUACUGGAUGGCUUGAGUUCGGGGAGAGGGGAUGCGGAAUUCCAGGUGUAGCGGUGAAAUGCGUAGAGAUCGGGAGGAACAUCAGUUGCGAAGGCGGCUCUCUGGACCAGCACUGACACUGGAGGCACGAAAGCGUCGGGGAGCAAACAGG